UUCCCCAGCUAUAAACAGCGCUGCAUAUGAGGUAUCAAUGGAAAGUUUAGAAAAUGUACGUUACUACUAGCAUGAUAGAUUCAAAUUAAGCGUCAUGAGUACCAGCCCAGACCUGUCUAAAGUUCAUACGGAUUUUGAACAUUUUUGUUGCACAUUUUUUCUAACAUAUAUGAAUAUAUGUUCUCAAACUAGGCAUGACCUGAAAGGACUUGAACCAAGCUUUCCAACGAGCCCACUCUCACCUACAUCGUUCAUAUUUAGCGGUCAUAAAAUGAGUCUAAAAAACACCCUUUCGAUCUUCGAAAAUCUUCCACCAGCAACCAGGUGUAGCUCGAGACUAUCUGAGGCCUGUUUUGAGGUCUAUUGGCAAAGACCUUUCAAUGUGUAUAUCCAUCCCAGACAAAAUGGGUUC